GCAUUUCUAACCUCAACAGUACCAUGGACGCUCGAGUGCAACAAACUAUUGCGGCUGAAAUAAUUCGACGUAGGAAAGCAAUUAUCGUGUCAGCUGUAGCAACUGCUUUUAAACGUAGACAUCUACUGAAACAACGAAAACGUAAAUUGUGGAGUCGCGAGUGGCUGUUACGGCGUGAUAGAGGACAGAAUGUUCUAAAUAUGGUAUUUCGUGAGCUCGGCCCUGAAGAUCCAGCCAGUUUCACCAAUUAUACUUGAAUGAUGGAAGAUGACUGGAAUGAGUUGUUGACACUUCUGACUCCGGCCAUAAAAAAACAGGAUACCGUUAUGCGUCAAGCUAUAUCACCGAGGGACAGACUCACUGUGACUCUUCGAUAUUUAGCAACGGGCAAUACCUUUCAAGAUUUGAGCUACUCCACUCGCAUAGCCGCGAACACAAUUUCAAAAGUGAUUGACGAAACUUUAAGAGCAAUAGUAGAAGUACUCGACUCAAAAGUAUGAAAUUUCCCAUCAUCGCUGGAGGAAUGGCAGGUUAUCGCUCACAAAUUCGAUACUUUAUGGAAUUUUCCUCAUUGCAUCGGUGCGCUGGAUGGGAAACACAUCAAUUUUCGUCCCCCUCGAAGUGACGGAUCGAUUUACCGUAAUUAUAAGGGAAAAGACAGCAUUGUGCUUCUGGGUCUUGUCGAUGCUGAAUACAGAUUUUUGUUCGUUGACGUCGGAAGAAAUGGACGUAUGCACGAUUCUGCUGUUUUGCGUGAGAGCCCAUUAUGGACUAAGAUCAACGAUGGAACGUUGAACUUACCUGCUCCAUGUGAAAUUCCAGGCUUUUGUUACAAAUUACCGUACGUGAUUGUCGGUAACGACGCAUUUGCCUUGAAACCUAAUUUGUUAAAGCCGUAUCCGGAUAGAAACUUGACGCUUGACAAAAGAAUAUUCAACUACAGAUUGAGCCGUGCUCGCAGAACUGUUGAAAACGCUUUUGGCAUACUGGCAAACAGAUGGCGCGUUUUACUUUCUACGAUAUCUCUCUCCGUUCAAAAAGUAGAGAGAAUAACUUACGCGUGUGUGCUUUUACAUAAUUAUUUAAUCAAUAAAUCUAACAAUGAUUCCAGUCAAUGGUACGUACCGCAUAAUUACAGAAUCUCAACCCGCGUUGAUAGUAAUUGUAAUGCA